rnacentral:lncRNA from 7 species
GCGGAACGGGUGUUGCACAGCGCAACGCUCGUUCUUUUUAGUUUCUUUUUUUUUUUGGAGCCAUUUGAGCCAUUUGUCUAUGGCACACUCUGUAGUCGUACUCGUACGUAGUGAUUUUGUCUGUCCCACACCACGUUCUAGUCUAAUGUAAAAAUAUCUGGUUUGUUUAGCAUUAUAUAUACACCGACACUCAUUUUUAGCCAGAGGUAUUUUCAUCUUUUUUUUAAUGCGACAUCCCUUCUCUUCAGCCAGCUGCGAAUGCCUAUUUUAUUGGGGAUGGCGGUGUGUCAGCCACAAAGCCUCCUAUCUCACGUGGCUAAAACUAAAUGAAUGGAGUGUGUGUAUAUAUAUAUAUAUAUAUAUAUCCUUACGUGAUAUAAAUUCUCUUUUUUUAUUCCUGUGCCCUCAUUAAACGUCGCUCAUUCAUUUCUCUAUCUCUCUCUCCCCCCAGUCUUCGUCGCGCUGCAUGCAUUGUCAGAAGACGCUGUGCUGUUCACUGAAGCGUAGGGCCGACAAAGGAAGAGGGAACAAUAGGAUGGCUUGAAUGAGGGGACAGACAAACAUGGGGGGACUGCAUCUGCAGCAACAACAGCAACGCAUGCAUGCAUCCAUGAUCCCUCCCCUC